rnacentral:rRNA from 1 species
CAGCCGCCACGGUAAUACGUAGGGUGCAAGCGUUAAUCGGAAUUACUGGGCGUAAAGCGUGCGCAGGCGGUUAUAUAAGACAGAUGUGAAAUCCCCGUGCUCAACCUGGGAACUGCAUUUGUGACUGUAUAGCUAGAGUACGGCAGAGGGGGAUGGAAUUCCGCGUGUAGCAGUGAAAUGCGUAGAUAUGCGGAGGAACACCGAUGGCGAAGGCAAUCCCCUGGGCCUGUACUGACGCUCAUGCACGAAAGCGUGGGGAGCAAACAGGAUUAGAUACCCCCGUAGUCCCUGUCUCUUAUAC